GUCUACGGCCAUGGCACCCUGAACACUCCCGAUCUCAUCUGAUCUCGGAAGCUAAGAAGGGUCGAGCCUGGUUAGUACUUGGAUAGGAGACCACCUAGGAAGAUCAGGUGCUGUAGGCG
rnacentral:rRNA from 1 species